GACGAACGCUGGCGGCGUGCCUAAUACAUGCAAGUAGAACGCUGAAGGAGGAGCUUGCUUCUCUGGAUGAGUUGCGAACGGGUGAGUAACGCGUAGGUAACCUGCCUGGUAGCGGGGGAUAACUAUUGGAAACGAUAGCUAAUACCGCAUAAGAGUAGAUGUUGCAUGACAUUUACUUAAAAGGUGCAAUUGCAUCACUACCAGAUGGACCUGCGUUGUAUUAGCUAGUUGGUGGGGUAACGGCUCACCAAGGCGACGAUACAUAGCCGACCUGAGAGGGUGAUCGGCCACACUGGGACUGAGACACGGCCCAGACUCCUACGGGAGGCAGCAGUAGGGAAUCUUCGGCAAUGGACGGAAGUCUGACCGAGCAACGCCGCGUGAGUGAAGAAGGCUUUCGGAUCGUAAAGCUCUGUUGUAAGAGAAGAACGAGUGUGAGAGUGGAAAGUUCACA
rnacentral:rRNA from 1 species